AAAAGAAAUAAGUUAGACAUGCAACACACACACACAUUUAAGCCGGUAGGAGAUUCAUACAAGUGAUAAGGCUCAUAAACAGUAUUUGAACACGACCAAAAAAAAGUCAGACUAAAUAGGUAUUUGAGUUUUCCCUUUUGCCGUUUGCUGUCUGGUGCUGCUCCUGCGCGUAAGCCCUCCUGGACUUUUGAGUGGGGAUGACGUGAAUGCAAAGUGACAGGGACCGUGUGUGUGUUUUGUUGAAAGGAUAUAGCGCCAGCUCGACAAGGUAAAUAUGCAAUGAGAUAGACAGACACGACGACCGAGAAAGAAACAAAUAAGACUAAGAAAGGAGGAGAGCCACAGAGCAGAUGUUGGUUUAGUCUAGAUGCCAUAUUUUACUCCUACGCGCUCUUGUUUUUUGAGUAAUAAUUACGUACAAUUCCAUGAUAAUUUUGAUAAUUCUGAAGAUUAUUCGAGUUCUUAUGCAUCAUGCAAAUUUUAGUUUGAGACAUUUAUUCGUCCUACGUCAACUGGACUCUUUCCAUUUCGUGUCAUCCAGCAAGGGGGGGGGGGACAUUUAAAAUUGCCGAACAAGUGAAAACCUUUUUUUUUUUUUUUCGUUGAAAAGAAAUUCAUCGCCAUUUUACGCAAUCGCUUUAGCGAAAAUCAAAAUUCUGGCGAAAAGAAUAGGACUAUAUCUCUUUUGUCUGAGUUGCUGUCAAGGGGAAACGAAAGAAAGUUCGGGCCGGGGAGAGAAUUCAACUUUCCAUUCUCGGCGGGCGAUGUUGGUAUAUAAUAUGCUUAGCUUAUAUUCUAUGUAACAUUUUUCGCUGUUGCCGGCCCGGCCGGCCCGACCUUUCCUUCUAGCCGGUUCAACCGAGAGGAAGAACAAUAACAGUACCAGCCGAUAUAAUGUAAGCGAAGAAGAAGAAGAAGAAACUAUAGACGAUGCACAACACACACAAGAGAGAGAAAGAGAGAUGACAAGGCCAUCCUUUUCGUUCAACACCCCCGUCGGGCGUUAUUAUUGUUCUUCCAACUGCAUGUCCUGCAUAAAUAAAUCGACACGAGAUUCUUCUUCCACUUCGGGGGGACUUGCGUCGCUUUGUAUCGAUCUGUGUCGUUCUUCGUGACCCCCCUGAAUGUGCCGUUACGUCUAGCGCGCCGCGUUUGUCUCCAAUUUCUUUUUUCUUCUUCUUUUUAUUGAAAAGAUAGACAGACCCAUAGCUGGCGAAACUCUCGACCAGACUAUAUAAUAUAAUAUUUUCGAGGAAAAAAAAGGAAAAGAUGUACCCGACGCCUUCAGACGAAGAGAAUCACGACCCGAGUCACUCACGCUAUUGCCUAUUCAAUCCUCUUUGCCGCUGCCAAGGUACAAACGACGCGACCGAGUGAUCAAAUAAACAAAUUGGGGCUAUUGUCGUAGCAGCUUCAAUGGAUGUCGCAGUUGUCGCUUCUCUCUCUUUUUCUAGUAUAUCCGCCGCCACGGUAGGUCAGCCCAAAUUGGAGGAAUUGACAUAUUUGUGCGUUUUCGAUUCGGAUGACAAUUUUUCAAGUCAACCGGUGCAAGGUUCAUAAAGGCGACCGUGGUCACGUCACUGGUGCAGAAAUUGAAUUGACACGCACGACAUUCAUUCAUCAUCAAAAGGAUCUCCCCCCCGCAAUUGAGGCCAGCAAUUCGUAUAAGAAACUCAAGUGCUACCAUAAGCGGAAUCGAUACCGGAUGACUCGACCAUGACUGGACGAAUUUGUUUUGUUUUUUAAAGAAGAAAACCCGAAUUGCGUUUGCUGUUACAGAUAUACGAUCGAUUUCCAAAAAUAUAUAUGUACUCUCACUCGGUUUACGCUGAGAAAAGACAACCUUGAAGAUUGAUAUGUCACAGAUGACAAAUUGACAAUAACGACGUGUGUGAGAGAGUCGGUUGCGUCGUAAUGAUGACCAGCACGCGGUCGGGCGGCAUUUUUUUUUUAUGUUUAUUUUUUUUUCCCAUUCUGAAAAUGUGACAAUCUGCCCUGUAAUCCGGCCGCAGAUUGCACAAUAAUAAGUCUGGAUGGAGAGGGUAUACGAGCGAGAGUCACGUUUAUUCCAUUAUCCCAAUCUCCCCUGCAGUUGUAGGUCAUCUGCUCAUCACCACCCCGCGGCCUCCUCAUGAUAUUCUUUAAAUUACAACUUUUUUCUUCACAUUCGACUCUAUAUUAUACCUAUACGCAACCAUCCUUUCUUGUCGUCGUAACUAUUUUUUUUUUAAUGUCGAUAUUUAUGCAAGCCCCCGUUGUUGGAAGAGUUCCUAUAGGGAUCGACCCAGUUCUUUUUCAUCUUCUCAAUUCUUUUGUAAGUUUUUUUUUCAAACUUGUGCCUAUAUUUUUUCAUUUUCAUUUUCAUUUUCUUUGUCCUCUGUUGUUCAUCUUUCGAAAAGCAAGUUCCACUCACGAUACACCUUCGGCGCGUGUGUCUUCAUCUUUGUUUGUUUCACUUUUUCUUGUCGGCUGUGUAAUCAAAACGACUUUGUGUCUGCCCAGGAAAACAAGAAUAAAAAUAAAAAGCCAUUGUUUUUU